rnacentral:tRNA from 1 species
GGGGUUGUGGCUCAGCGGUAGAGCACUCACCUAGCAUGUGUGAGGCGCUGGGUUCAAUCCUCAGCACCACA